rnacentral:lncRNA from 1 species
GUUUGAAAAAUAGACCAAAAAAACUAAAAUGACUAAAAUAGCAUUUUUUAUUUUGAAAAUUUUAAUUUUAUUUUAUUUUUUUAAAUUUGAAAUCCUUUCCCCAAAACUUAACUGCUCAACUCUAAACCAUAAACCUUAAACUCUAAACUCCAUCUCUUAACUCUAAACCCUAAACUCUAAACUCUUAACCCUAAACCCUAAAUCCUAAACCCUAAAUCC